rnacentral:rRNA from 1 species
UGUUGGUUAAGUCCCGCAACGAGCGCAACCCUUGUCAUUAGUUGCUACAUUCAGUUGGGGCACCCCUAAUGAGACUGCCGGUGACAAGCCGGAGGAAGGUGGGGAUGACGUCAAGUCCUCAUGGCCCUUAUAGGUGGGGCUACACACGUCAUACAAUGGCUGGUACAAAGGGUUGCCAACCCGCGAGGGGGAGCCAAUCCCAUAAAGCCAGUCGUAGUCCGGAUCGUAGUCUGCAACUCGACUACGUGAAGUCGGAAUCGCUAGUAAUCGUGGAUCAGAAUGUCACAGUGAAUACGUUCCCGGGUCUU